rnacentral:rRNA from 1 species
AAAUUGAAGAGUUUGAUCAUGGCUCAGAUUGAACGCUGGCGGCAGGCCUAACACAUGCAAGUCGAACGGUAACAGGAAGCAGCUUGCUGCUUCGCUGACGAGUGGCGGACGGGUGAGUAAUGUCUGGGAAACUGCCUGAUGGAGGGGGAUAACUACUGGAAACGGUGGCUAAUACCGCAUAACGUCGCAAGACCAAAGAGGGGGACCUUCGGGCCUCUUGCCAUCAGAUGUGCCCAGAUGGGAUUAGCUUGUUGGUGAGGUAACGGCUCACCAAGGCGACGAUCCUAGCUGGUCUGAGAGGAUGACCAGCCACACUGGAACUGAGACACGGUCCAGACUCCUACGGGAGGCAGCAGUGGGGAAUAUUGCACAAUGGGCGCAAGCCUGAUGCAGCCAUGCCGCGUGUAUGAAGAAGGCCUUCGGGUUGUAAAGUACUUUCAGCGGGGAGGAAGGUGUUGUGGUUAAUAACCGCAGCAAUUGACGUUACCCGCAGAAGAAGCACCGGCUAACUCCGUGCCAGCAGCCGCGGUAAUACGGAGGUGCAAGCGUUAAUCGGAAUUACUGGGCGUAAAGCGCACGCAGGCGGUCUGUCAAGUCGGAUGUGAAAUCCCCGGGCUCAACCGGGAACUGCAUUCGAAACUGGCAGGCUUGAGUCUUGUAGAGGGGUAGAAUUCGUGUAGCGGUGAAAUGCGUAGAGAUCUGGAGGAAUACCGGUGGCGAAGGCGGCCCCCUGGACAAAGACUGACGCUCAGGUGCGAAAGCGUGGGGAGCAAACAGGAUUAGAUACCCUGGUAGUCCACGCCGUAAACGAUGUCUACUUGGAGGUUGUGCCCUUGAGGCGUGGCUUCCGGAGCUAACGCGUUAAGUAGACCGCACGGGAGUACGGCCGCAAGGUUAAAACUCAAAUGAAUUGACGGGGGCCCGCACAAGCGGUGGAGCAUGUGGUUUAAUUCGAUGCAACGCGAAGAACCUUACACGGUCUUGACAUCCACAGAACUUUCCAGAGAUGGAUUGGUGCCUUCGGGAACUGUGAGACAGGUGCUGCAUGGCUGUCGUCAGCUCGUGUUGUGAAAUGUUGGGUUAAGUCCCGCAACGAGCGCAACCCUUAUCCUUUGUUGCCAGCGGUUAGGCCGGGAACUCAAAGGAGACUGCCAGUGAUAAACUGGAGGAAGGUGGGGAUGACGUCAAGUCAUCAUGGCCCUUACGACCAGGGGCUACACACGUGCUACAAUGGCGCAUACAAGAGAAGCGACCUCGCGAGAGCAAGCGGACCUCAUAAAGUGCGUCGUAGUCCGGAUUGAGUCUGCAACUCGACUCCAUGAAGUCGGAAUCGCUAGUAAUCGUGGAUCAGAAUGCCACGGUGAAUACGUUCCCGGGCCUUGUACACACCGCCCGUCACACCAUGGGAGUGGGUUGCAAAGAAGUAGGUAGCUUAACCUUCGGGAGGGCGCUUACCACUUUGUGAUUCAUGACUGGGGUGAAGUCGUAACAAGGUAACCGUAGGGGGAACCUGCGGUUGGAUCACCUCCUUACCUUAAAGAAGC